rnacentral:rRNA from 1 species
AACGAACGCUGGCGGCAUGCCUAACACAUGCAAGUCGAACGAGACCUUCGGGUCUAGUGGCGCACGGGUGCGUAACGCGUGGGAACCUGCCCUUAGGUUCGGAAUAACUCCCCGAAAGGGGUGCUAAUACCGGAUAAUGUCUUCGGACCAAAGAUUUAUCGCCUUUGGAUGGGCCCGCGUUGGAUUAGCUAGUUGGUAGGGUAAAAGCCUACCAAGGCGACGAUCCAUAGCUGGUCUGAGAGGAUGAUCAGCCACACUGGGACUGAGACACGGCCCAGACUGGGAGGGGAGGCAGCAGGGGGAGAGAGGGACGAAGGGGAGACAGGCUGAUCGGACAGGGGCGGGGGGGUGAAGACUGCCGUAGGGUUAAAUAUUUGUUUCGCCCGGGAUGGUAAAGAACUCGCGGGGAGAACAAGCGCCGGGUACCUCGGGGGCAGCGGCGGAGGUACGAAUGGGAGCAGAACAGGGAUGACU